GAAGGUGAGAAAAUUUGUUUUAAGAGCUGAUCCAGCUUUUUUGCAUUACUAUGAUCCCACCAAGGAAGAUAACAAACCAGUAGGUGGAUUCUCUCUUCGUGGCUGUCUUGUCUCAGCUCUGGAGGACAACGGAGUCCCAGCAGGAGUGAAGGGCA